CGGGGAGACUGCAAAUAUGCGUGGUCUCCGACAUUCAUCCCCAUCAGGCAUAUUGCUUACUGGAGACACAGAUGGCAUUGACCGCUGAAAAGAAGGCCGAAAUCGUCAAGGAAUACGGCCGUGGUGAC
rfam:Halomonadaceae bacterium T82-2 scaffold_42, whole genome shotgun sequence.